UUUUGCUUAGUUUAAUCAGAAUCUAAAAGCAGGGUGAUGAGUGUUUUAGAUUUCUGAUUCGGCUUCUGGUUAAAC
rnacentral:pre_miRNA from 1 species